rnacentral:rRNA from 1 species
AGCAAUCCCUCGGGGGAAGUGGCGAAAGGGGCAGUAAUACAUGGAUAACCUACCCUGGGGUUGGGCAUAGCCGUUCUAACGAGCGGGUAAUUCCCAGCGAGUCGGCGAGUUGGCAUCAAUUUGCCGGGAAAGAAUUUCGCCUCGGGAGGGGUCCAUGCGAUAUCAGCUAGUUGGUGGGGUAACGGCCCACCAAGGCUUAGACGUCUAGCGGGUGUGAGAGCACGACCCGCGCCACUGGCACUGAGACACUGGCCAGACACCUACGGGUGGCUGCAGUCGAGGAUCUUCGUCAAUGGGCGCAAGCCUGAACGAGCGAUGCCGCGUGAGCGAUGAAGGCCUUCGGGUUGUAAAGCUCAAAAGGGGUGAGAAAGGGAAACUUGAUCGAACCCCAGUAAGCUCGGGCUAAGUUCGUGCCAGCAGCCGCGGUAAGACGAACCGAGCGAACGUUG